UCCUUGGAUCUCGUUCACAUUAGAGCUCCAGUAGUUCCCCUAAAAGAACGACAUGGGUCGUCACAUGGAGUCCACACGUGUCCGAGCCCCAAUUAAACCUGCGGUGACCUUGACGAAGUGUUCGAUCCACCGGCGGCCACUGAGGAUGUUGUGGACACACGUGGUGACUUUGUUCCAUUCGUAGUGAUCUCCAAACCUGAACACAUCAUCAACAAACAGUCUGGACAUGUCUCUCCAGGUGGGAAGGGUGCAGCCAUUUUGCCUUGUACUGCCGCUGGCCGUC